UCCGAUCUCGGCGGAUACCUUGGCACACAGAGGCGAUGAAGGACGUGGUUACCUGCGAUAAGUCUCGGGGAGCUGGAAACACGCUUUGAUCCGGGAAUUUCCGAAUGGGGCAACCCUUAGAACGGCCAGCUGAAUCUAUAGGCUGGCGCGAGCCAACCCAGCGAACUGAAACAUCUUAGUAGCUGGAGGAAAGGAAAGUAAAAACGACUCCCUAAGUAGCGGCGAGCGAACGGGGAAGAGCCUAAACCAAUGGUUUCGACCAUUGGGGUUGUGGGACAGCAACGUGGAUCAGGAAUGUUAGUGGAAGUGUUUGAAAGACACGCCAUAGAAGGUGAAAGCCCCGUACACGAAAACUGAACUGACCUAGCUGUAUCCCGAGUAGCACGGAGCACGUGGAAUUCCGUGUGAAUCAGCGAGGACCACCUCGUAAGGCUAAGUACUCCUGUGUGACCGAUAGCGAAACAGUACCGCGAGGGAAAGGUGAAAAGAACCCCGGGAGGGGAGUGAAAUAGAACAUGAAACCGUGAGCCUACAAGCAAUGGGAGCCCUACUCAUAGGGUGACCGUGUGCCUGUUGAAGAAUGAGCCGGCGACUUAUAGGCACUGGCGGGUUAAACCGGAAAUGGUGGAGCCAUAGCGAAAGCGAGUCUGAAUAGGGCGUUUGUCAGUGUUUAUAGACCCGAACCCGGGUGAUCUAACCAUGGCCAGGAUGAAGCUUGGGUGAUACCAAGUGGAGGUCCGAACCGACUGACGUUGAAAAGUCAGCGGAUGAGCUGUGGUUAGGGGUGAAAUGCCAAUCGAACCCGGAGCUAGCUGGUUCUCCCCGAAAUACGUUGAGGCGUAGCGUCUCGUGCUCCAGCAGGGGGGUAAAGCCACCAUUUCGGUGCGGGCUGCGAGAGCGGUACCAAAUCGAGAUGAACUCUGAAUACCCUGUGUGUAGCGAGGCAGUCAGACUGUGGGGGAUAAGCUCCAUGGUCGAGAGGGAAACAGCCCAGACCGCCAGCUAAGGUCCCCAAAUCAACACUAAGUGAUAAAGGAGGUGGGAUUGCCCAGACAACCAGGAGGUUUGCCUAGAAGCAGCCAUCCUCAAAGGAGUGCGUAAUAGCUCACUGGUCGAGCGAUCCUGCGCCGAAAAUGAAUGGGGCUAAGUGUUGUACCGAAGCUGCGGAUUUAUGGUAGGGGAGCGUUCUAUGUGGGGCGAAGCGUUAGCGUGAGCGGGCGUGGACUGCAUAGAAGUGAGAAUGUCGGCUUGAGUAGCGAAAACAUGGGUGAGAAUCCCAUGCACCGAAACCCUAAGGGUUCCUCCGGCAGGCUCGUCCGCGGAGGGUUAGUCUGGACCUAAGGCGAGGCCGAAAGGCGUAGUCGAUGGAUAACAGGUCAACAUUCCUGUACCGGUUAUGUUUUGGGAAGAGGGACGGAGAAGGCUAGCCAAGCCAGAUGUUGGUUACUGGUUCAAGCGUUCGAGGCGUUGAGGAUCGGCGAAAACGAUCCGAGCUGAGGCGUGAGUACGAGCUGCUACGGCAGCGAAGUUGGUGAUGUCAUGCUUCCAAGAAAAGCUCUAUACCCGUUAAGGCAUAACUGCCAGUACCCGAAACCGACACAGGUGGGGUGGUAGAGAAUACCGAGGUGCGCGAGGUAACUCUCUCUAAGGAACUCGGCAAAAUGGCCCCGUAACUUCGGGAGAAGGGGUGGCUACUCGUAAGAGAGCUCGCAGUGACCAGGCCCAGGCGACUGUUUAUCAAAAACACAGGUCUCCGCAAAGUUGCAAAACGACGUAUGGGGGCUGACGCCUGCCCAGUGCCGGAAGGUAAAGGAAGUUGGUUAUUUGACUCUUGAGUUCAAAGAAGCUGACCACCGAAGCCCCGGUAAACGGCGGCUGUAACACUGACAGUCCUAAGGUAGCGAAAUUCCUUGCCAAGUAAGUUUUGGCCCGCACGAAAGGCGUAACGAUCUGGGCGCUGUCUCGGAGAGAGACUCGGUGAAAUAGAAAUGUCUGUGAAGAUGCGGACUACCUAUACCAGGACAGAAAGACCCUAUGAAGCUUGAAGGUAGCUUGGAAUUGGGUUCGGGCUCUUUUUGCGCAGUCUAGGUGGGAGGCGUUGAUGGUAGGGUUUCGGCCCUAUCGAGAUCGGAAGAGCACACGUCUGAACUCCAGUCACACUAUCAAUCUC
rnacentral:rRNA from 1 species